GACAGAGGUGCCGAGCGUUAGGCGGAAUCACUGGGCUUAAAGCGUGUGUAGGCGGGCGGGCAAGUACCUUGUGAAAUCCCACGGCUCAACCGUGGAACUGCUGGGUAUUCUGCCUGUCUUGAGCCAGCCAGGGGCAGUCGGAACAGACGGUGGAGCGGUGAAAUGCGUAGAUAUCGUCUGGAACGCCAAAGGUGAAAACAGACUGCUGGGGCUGUGCUGACGCUGAGACACGAAAGCCAGGGGAGCGAACGGG
rnacentral:rRNA from 1 species